rnacentral:rRNA from 1 species
CCCGGUAGUGGGGGAUAGCCCGGAGAAAUUCGGAUUAAUACCGCAUACGCCCUAAGGGGGAAAGCAGGGGAUCUUCGGACCUUGCGCUAUCGGAUGAGCCUGCGUCGGAUUAGCUUGUUGGUGGGGUAAAGGCCCACCAAGGCUACGAUCCGUAGCUGGUCUGAGAGGAUGAUCAGCCACACUGGGACUGAGACACGGCCCAGACUCCUACGGGAGGCAGCAGUGGGGAAUAUUGCACAAUGGGCGCAAGCCUGAUGCAGCUAUGCCGCGUGUGUGAAGAAGGCCUUAGGGUUGUAAAGCACUUUCAGUAGGGAGGAAAGGUUUACGGUUAAUACCCGUGAGCUGUGACGUUACCUACAGAAGAAGCACCGGCUAACUCCGUGCCAGCAGCCGCGGUAAUACGGAGGGUGCGAGCGUUAAUCGGAAUUACUGGGCGUAAAGCGUGCGUAGGCGGCUAUUUAAGUUGGAUGUGAAAGCCCCGGGCUCAACCCGGGAACUGCAUCCAAAACUGAGUGGCUAGAGUACGGGAGAGGAGUGUGGAAUUUCCUGUGUAGCGGUGAAAUGCGUAGAUAUAGGAAAGAACACCAGUGGCGAAGGCGACACUCUGGCCUGAUACUGA